CCUACGGGUGGCAGCAGUGGGGAAUAUUGGUCAAUGGGCGCAAGCCUGACCCAGCAACGCCGCGUGAAGGAAGAAGGCUUUCGGGUUGUAAACUUCUUUUGACAGGGAAGAGUAGAAGACGGUACCUGUCGAAUAAGCCACGGCUAACUACGUGCCAUCAGCCGAGGUAAUACGUAGGUGGCAGGCGUUGUGCGGAUUUACUGGGUGUAAAGGGAGUGUAGCCGGUCUGACAAGUCAGAUGUGAAAGCCUGCGGCUUAACCGUAGAACUGCAGUUGAAACUGUUGAUCUUGAGUACUGGAGAGGCAGACGGAAUGCCUAGUGUAGCGGUGAAAUGCGUAGAUAUUAGGAAGAACACCAGUGGCGAAGGCGGUCUGCUGGACAGCAACUGACGGUGAGGCACGAAAGCGUGGGGAGCGAACAGGAUUAGAUACCCGAGUAGUC
rnacentral:rRNA from 1 species